rnacentral:rRNA from 1 species
GUCGUGGAGAGGGAAACAACCCAGACCGCCAGCUAAGGUCCCAAAGUAUUGCUAAGUGGGAAACGAUGUGGGAAGGCUCAGACAGCUAGGAUGUUGGCUUAGAAGCAGCCAUCAUUUAAAGAAAGCGUAAUAGCUCACUAGUCGAGUCGGCCUGCGCGGAAGAUGUAACGGGGCUAAGCAAUACACCGAAGCUGCGGCAAUGUCUUUUAGACAUUGGGUAGGGGAGCGUUCUGUAAGCCGUUGAAGGUGAAUCGUAAGGUUUGCUGGAGGUAUCAGAAGUGCGAAUGCUGACAUGAGUAACGACAAAGGGGGUGAAAAACCUCCUCGCCGGAAGACCAAGGGUUCCUGUCCAACGUUAAUCGGGGCAGGGUGAGUCGACCCCUAAGGUGAGGCCGAAAGGCGUAAUCGAUGGGAAACGGGUUAAUAUUCCCGUACUUCUGACUAUUGCGAUGGGGGGACGGAGAAGGCUAGGUGGGCCAGGCGACGGUUGUCCUGGUUCAAGUGCGUAGGCUUGAGAGUUAGGUAAAUCCGGCUCUCUCUAAGGCUGAGACACGACGUCGAGCUACUACGGUAGUGAAGUCAUUGAUGCCAUGCUUCCAGGAAAAGCCUCUAAGCUUCAGAUAGUCAGGAAUCGUACCCCAAACCGACACAGGUGGUCGGGUAGAGAAUACCAAGGCGCUUGAGAGAACUCGGGUGAAGGAACUAGGCAAAAUGGUACCGUAACUUCGGGAGAAGGUACGCUCUUGAUGGUGAAGUCCCUCGCGGAUGGAGCUGACGAGAGUCGCAGAUACCAGGUGGCUGCAACUGUUUAUUAAAAACACAGCACUGUGCAAAAUCGCAAGAUGACGUAUACGGUGUGACGCCUGCCCGGUGCCGGAAGGUUAAUUGAUGGGGUUAGCGCAAGCGAAGCUCUUGAUCGAAGCCCCGGUAAACGGCGGCCGUAACUAUAACGGUCCUAAGGUAGCGAAAUUCCUUGUCGGGUAAGUUCCGACCUGCACGAAUGGCGUAAUGAUGGCCACGCUGUCUCCACCCGAGACUCAGUGAAAUUGAAAUCGCUGUGAAGAUGCAGUGUACCCGCGGCUAGACGGAAAGACCCCGUGAACCUUUACUACAGCUUGGCACUGAACAUUGAACCUACAUGUGUAGGAUAGGUGGGAGGCUAUGAAGACGUGACGCCAGUUGCGUUGGAGCCGUCCUUGAAAUACCACCCUUGUAUGU